rnacentral:rRNA from 1 species
GAUGAACGCUGGCGGCGUGCUUAACACAUGCAAGUCGAACGAAGAAGAGUUGAAUGAGAGCUUCGGCAGGAUUUCUUCUCAUCUUAGUGGCGGACGGGUGAGUAACGUGUGGGCAACCUGCCCUAUACUGGGGAAUAAUCACUGGAAACGGUGACUAAUACCGCAUGUCAUCACCGGAGGGCAUCCUCUGGUGAAAAAAGGAGCAAUUCGGUAUAGGAUGGGCCCGCAUCUGAUUAGCUAGUUGGUGAGAUAACAGCCCACCAAGGCGACGAUCAGUAGCCGACCUGAGAGGGUGAUCGGCCACAUUGGGACUGAGACACGGGCCCAAAACUCCUACGGGAGGCAGCAGUUAGGAAUAUUCGUCAAUGGAGGAAACUCUGAACGAGCAAUGCCGCGUGAGUGAUGACGGUCUUUAUGAUUGUAAAACUCUGUUAUAAGGGGAUAAAGUGUAGAGACUUGUCUCAUUUUGC